rnacentral:rRNA from 1 species
AACGAACGCUGGCGGCAUGCCUAACACAUGCAAGUCGAACGAAGGCUUCGGCCUUAGUGGCGCACGGGUGCGUAACGCGUGGGAAUCUGCCCUUUGGUUCGGAAUAACAGCUGGAACCGGCUGCUAAUACCGGAUGAUGACGAAAGUCCAAAGAUUUAUCGCCAGAGGAUGAGCCCGCGUUGGAUUAGGUAGUUGGUGGGGUAAAGGCCUACCAAGCCGACGAUCCAUAGCUGGUCUGAGAGGAUGAUCAGCCACACUGGGACUGAGACACGGCCCAGACUCCUACGGGAGGAAGCAGUGGGGAAUAUUGGACAAUGGGCGCAAGCCUGAUCCAGCAAUGCCGCGUGAGUGAUGAAGGCCCUAGGGUUGUAAAGCUCUUUUACCCGGGAAGAUAAUGACUGUACCGGGAGAAUAAGCCCCGGCUAACUCCGUG